rnacentral:lncRNA from 1 species
UUUUUUUUUUUUUUUUUUUGUCGUAAGAAUAAUAUUUGUAUAACCUACUCUAAUUUAAUCUAAGAGAAGAAGGAGUUGACGGAAUUUUUCCGUCGAAAAAAGUCACAAUUAAAUGGCAAAAUGGAAGGUCAAGAUUGACUUCCCAUUCCACCAAAAAUGGCAAAAAGUCACAAUUAAAUGGCAAAAUGGAAGGUCAAGAGGCUGUUGGCAGAUUCUCUUUUGUAACUUUUUUUUUUUUGGUCAAACAAUUACACAUAAGUUAGAUUAAAAUUAGCUGAAACAUUCUGAGGUUGAACCUAAGAGGACCACAAGAAACAUCCAUCCAUCCAGCCAAUUGAUGACAGGAAGGUACUCUUGUCGAGAUUCUCCUUUGUACUUGAGUGUCCAAAAACUUGUAGUGUCAGAAGAGUCACUUUGGUUGGUUAUUGCAGGGAAUGGAGCACUUGCAUUUGGCGCAUGGCCUAUUAUAGGGCAUGAAGUUUUUCAAAAACUGUUCUUUCUGAUGAUGACAAUUAAUAUAAAGUAAGGGAUUGGGUUUACCCUAGAAGCAAUACAACAUUGUUGCUUAUCUGAAGCAGAAACCAAUGUAUUCAGAUUGAAAUUUCGUAAAUAAAAGAUCUACCAACCCCACGCGUAACCCUAAAAAUAGUUUAUGUCAUGGUACGUACUAGACCUCAAAUGAUUUUGAAGCUUUCUUUUGUACACUAACUAGAAUUGUAGUUCCUGAGCAGAAUUCCUAAACAAUGAACUUUUGGCUCGAUCUUUUAUUUAUUUAUUUUUUUUUGGAACAUUAUUCAUAGUUAUUAAAUCCUAUCAAACUCGACGAUUAAACCUAUCAACUCGAUAAAUUAACCAUUUAACCUCGGGUAAGACCUUAGACCAAAUAACAGAGGAACUCAUUGACCAGACAAUUAUUUAUGAAUUUAAUAGAUAAACUCCAGAAAAUUGGUUGGUUCAAAUAAUUAUAUUAUUCUUACUUAUUUAAAUAUAGUGUUUUAUUAUAUUAUAGUUGCAUCGUUUGAAACUUGAGCUUGAACCAUUGGUCCGUUGAAUUGGUAACCUUAUCGGGGUCAUAUUAUUUGUUACACACACAUAUACAUGUAUACAUACAUACAUGCAUAUAUAUAUAUAUAUAUAUAUAUAUUUUCCAGCAUUAUUCAGUGUAUAGUUAUUGUAGUUUUUUUUUUUUCAUCUUUUUGUCCUAUCUCGUAUUAAUAUAUCUACUCUGAUCGAUGUUAGGUGUAGAAAAAGGGAUUGAAUUGUUCGGAUAUUCGUGCAAGAACAUGGGAUGGUUGGGGGCAGCGUGAAACGUUUUAUUAAUACUUGCAUUGUGGGAUCCUUAACAUGCAAGUUAGUAUGUUACCACAGCCAUCCACUCAAAGAAUUUGCUCGGUGUCGAAAGACAACACAACGUGGCCAAGCCACCAAACACCACAAGACACCCAACAAUCCCGUAUGAAUGAAUAUAUAUAUUGAAAAAGCAAAAUUCUUCAGAGAAGAAAAUUUUAUGUUUGUCACGUACAACUGGCACAUACACGAAUGACAAGGAAUCAUGUGCACUCUUGACCAUUCUUCUUCAACGACGUAACAUUUCUUGGAUGAAUUGGAUUUUGCUGGAUGAAUGAACGAGGUUCAAUUAUCUUUAAGGAAAAAGACGAUUUAAUAUUAUUGUCUAAAAAGACAAUUGAAUGAGCCAAGAACUGAUGUUUUGUGUUUGUCUCUACUCUACAAUUAGAGAUCAAAAUCGAGAUGUGCAGAAAUUUUGAACAAGCAAGAACUACUAGCCAAUAAACAUAAACAUAGCACAAGAGCUAUCGCAACAGGAGAGCCAAGUGUUUAAUUAAUGGAAAUACUGUUAGAAAGCUGAUCUUCUGCAGUCUAAUUAAGAUUUCAUUGCACUUAAUCUAACUCAAGAAGUUACAGUGCUUAUUAAUCAGAAUUUCUCCUGAUUAAAGAACAUAUUUAUUUUGUUUGGAUGAACAGAAAACCUACCGACCAAUAUGAGCAAUGAAAGAAUCCAUCUCCAAGCGACUAGUACCGCCUUCCAUAACAGAAUCCUUUACUGCUUUGCUCAAUUCUUUUGCCCUUUGCCUCAUCUCUUCUCCUUCAGCUGAAUCCAUCAAUCUUCUCACAGCAUUUUCAACAGCCAUGGAUGUCUCAAGUUCGUCUUGCCGAGACCAAUCCCUUACCGACAGACCAAUUUUCAGCACCUUUUCCAGUAGUAUUGCGUUUCUGUACUGGUCAGUAUGCAUAGGCCAUGCCGCCACCGGCACUCCCAUGCUAAUGCUCUCCAUACACGAGUUCCAUCCGCAGUGGCUCAUGAAUCCACCUGUUGAUGAAUGUCCAAGAAUCUCCAGUUGGGGUGCCCAAUCCCUCAUAAUUAUUCCUCUUCCUUCAGUUCUUUCUUCGAAUCCUCCGGGCAACUGAACUCUCCUAACUUCUCCCUUGAAGACAUCUCCUUGAUCUCCAUCCUUCAGUAUCCAUAUGAACUUUUGCCCGCUUUUCUCUAAUCCAAUCGCGAUCUGCGUGGCUUCCUCGUCCGAUACUGAAGUAUUCGAACCAAAGCAAACAAAAAUGACCCAGUUUGGGCCUUGUUUGUCUAGCCACUCCAGGCAAUAGUGUCUCUGUCCCGUGUUUUUCUGCUCAUUGAUCUCAACUGGGUUGAAGGGACCAACAGCCCAUUGCUUGUGGGAAUCGGCAGCACUGGCUUUUGCAAGAAGAUCAAGGUAUGGACCCUCUAUAAACCUGCAUGUGUUGUACAGAUCGCCCCCAGAGCUAAUUGGCUUGGAUUCAUUUUGCAAUUUUAUGAAAUCUUUCAACUCUUGAGGUAAAGAACUUGCAUGUGAUGGAAGAUUUUCGAGUGCUUCAAGUAUUUCAGGCUCGAGUACUCUAGGUUUCCCUAUUUUUUCCCAAGAAUAUGCGUACGCGGUGAAGGCUGAGACGCUCAUAAAGCUAUAGGACUCUGCAUUGGGAAUUAAAUCAACAUCCUGGAUGACAUAUGGCGUAACGGAGUCAUAAAUAACCACCAAUCUUCUCGUUGUGCUAGAAAGUUGUUGCAGAAGUGCGUAAACUGGCUCCCGGAGUUUGAUGGAUGCUUUCAGCAUUGGGAUGAGUUGUACGGGAAAUUUUGUCGGGGCGUUUGGGUCGGGAGGAGGAGUUUCAUAAGAAGGGACAGGAAAAUCGUGGAAAUGGAUGUUGGAAAUGGCAAGAGGAUCCCAACCUUGUACUCGGACCUUCGCCUGGCGGGUGUGAGUGGCCGUGCCAACGUAGUGAACGGGUAUAUUGUAGGAGGAGAUGAGGCGGGAGAGAUGGAGGAGCUGGUUGAGAUGACCUUGUAAAAGAAGGGGAACCAUAACCACAGUUACUUCAUGUGUUUCUUCUUCUUGAAUGCUACCAAUUUGGUUUUGUGCAGUAGAAUGACCAGUUUUGGGCAUUGGCUGGAUUUGGGAUUUGGAAAGCUCUUUGUACUUUAGCUUGUCAGAAUUGCUUUGCUCUUAGAAGUUGUAAGAUGAAAGCUCUGCUAAUACUGUAGGCUUCUACAACUCAAGAGAAGCUUCUACAACUCAUCUUAAUUGCAAGUGGACCCUCUGCUAAUAUUGUAGGCUUCCUAACCUUCCCAAGAACUCUUUCCAUGAUUGGUAAUAUUAUUGCAAGUGGAACCUCUGUUAGCGGACAAAGUUGGAAAGUACUUGACCAUCAAGAUUGCUCUGUUGGCAAAAUUUGACUUUGAUCCAAGUACUCAUCAGUUAUUCGAUCUGGGUUUCCAUCAUCCUUACAGUUACAGCAAGGAAGCAGCAAAUUUGACUUUGAUCCAAAUACUCAAAUUGUUGGAUCUGUAGUAGGACCGACGCGCGGGUUUUACUGCAGUUACAGCAAGGAAACAGCAGAAGAAUUGUACAGAAGAUACGAGCAUCGAGGACAAGGUGGAGGGUCGGUUGUUGUUGUCCCUUAAAUUGUUAUACUUCCUCUCUCCCAUUUUAAUAGUUCUAAUUUUUUUUCAUACAAUUUAAAAAAAAAUAAUUAAUUUUAUUAAAAAAAUAAAUUUAAAUUAUUAAUUUUCUAAAAUACCCUUACAUUAUUGUUUCCUCAAGUGGAAGAACAACGGGGGCUACAACAACAAUGAAAAAAUAAAAACAUUGAGAAAAAGUUGUUCAAACCAUCAUAAAGGAGAGAAGAUUGAAUUGUCCAAAACAAUUUGUGGAAUUGGAGUCCGAUUAUGAUUCUAGUAACUAUAUUUUGGAUGAAAGUUUUUUCAAAUCUGAUAAAGGGAAAAGCUAUUUAAAAUCUGAUAUUUUCCUUGAGAAGAGGAAAAUUUAAGUCAGAGUUCUUCCAUUGUUAAGUUUAGUAUUUCAAUUUUGAAGGAUUAUUAUUACUUUACCCCCUUAGUGUUUGGUGUUACUAUCAAUUUUUCCCUUAACUUUGUUUUUUAGUCAUUUUACCUACAAAAUUAAAGAUCAAACUUAAUGAAAUUUAUUAAUUCAAGUCAUAAGACAUGUUUAUCUUUUAAAAUCAUUAUUACUUUACUCUCAUAAACUAUAUCUUUAUUAUUAAUUUACCUCAUAGAGUUAUUUUUUAGAUAAUUUAUCCCACCAUUAGACCAACUUAACAAGUUAAAAAAUUUUAGAAGAAAGUACUCUCUUUUUGUAUAAUAAAAACAAUAAAAAAGUUAGAGUAGCCCUUCUCCUUUUUAGUAUCAAGGAAAAGAAAGUCAAAAUAUUAAUCUCUUUCUUCUUGACAAUCUUAUUAAUAUUGGAAAAAUAGAAUAUUAGAGAGAGAGAGAGAGAGAGAGAGAGAGAGAGUAAAAUACCUAGAAAAUUAUGUUAGAGAGUUAAGCGAUUGUACUACUAUAAUUUAAAGGGAUAAAGUGAUAAUAAUGUAGUAAUGUUAUAAAAUAAAAGAGAAUUUUUGUCAAAAAAUUGUUAACAUAUUAAGUUGAAUUACCUAUGGGGUGAAGUGACUAAAAAAUAACGUUAGGGGGUAAAUUAAUGUAGUAAUAUAUUUUAUGGGGGUAAAGUGAUAAUAACCCAAUUUUGAACCAAAUAGUUGGAGGUGGGAAGAUUAUGGUGAGGGGUGGUAGAUUAAAAAAAAUGGAAAAUUUAAGUCAAGUCUCGAGAUUUUGUUACAGAUCCAAAAACAUAUGGAACAUAUUGGGACGAUUUAUUUGUAAUAGAAUUUUGCCGAGUAAACUCUUCCAUGUAAGCUUGACGAGUUAGUGUUAACGAAUGUCCAGUUCUACACCCGCCAAUCACUUCAAACUCUAAUUACAUUAUCUUUACAUUAUCUAUCAUUAGGGACAAUGAAAAAGGAUAAGAGUAUAAAGUCAUAUAGAUCCAAUUUAAACAAAAGAUUCUGAAAUCUAAUUUUACACUUCUUUUAUUCUCAUUUGCGAAAAUUAAAAUCAUGAAAAUAAACUACCUAUCAUGAAUACAGGCUAGUAAUUCAAAAUGUUGAAUGAAAAGAUAAGAAAUAUGUUCUUCACAUCCUAAAUUUUUGGCCCCAACAAUUAUUUUACAUAUCAAUAACCUUAUCUAGUAAAUAAGCAUUUUUCACUAUUAAGAAACUUUAUAUAAAUCAAAAUAUCAAAAUAUAAUUAUCUAUCCAUAAAUUAAGAGACUCUAAUUAAUUUUAAUUCAACAGGCCUCAACAUUUCCUUCCUAAUCAUUGUUUUCCUUGGAUCUUCAUUUGUCAUAUUCUUUUUCCUCUGCUCUAGCACUAUCACCCUAUUAUCAAAUAACAAUUUUAACAAAUAAAAAAUUAAAAUUAAAAUGAAUACGUAUAAUGGAGUUAUUAUUUUAUGGGGGGAAGUAGUUACAAUUCUUUCAUUUUAGCCUAAAGAUUUUUCAUGGAAUCAAUACCCGUCUUCUUGUCAGCCACAGGGAAUUUUUUUUCCAAAAAUAAAAAGGACACAGAAUAAAUAAAAAUUUUAAAAAAAAUGAAAAACCACAUUUCUUUAGAUUUAAGGGGAAAAGUAUUUAUAGCAUCACAUACAAACUUCAACUUGCCUUUGUUAGGGCGCAAAAGAAAGUCAGAUAAAAGGAGGAAGUCGUAAGAAAAGGAAUAAGCAAAGGUUUCUAAUUAGGACACAAAAAAAUGACAAAAAAUAAUAAAUAGUAUAUACAAAGAGAGACGGUAAAAGUAGAAGAUCAUGAAUCAUGAUUAUUGGACUAAGAAAGAAAAGAAAUAUCAAACCCAAUCUUGAUCUCCUACAACUAAACCAUUCAUUUAGUUAAUUAUGGAUAAAAUUGAAAGAAAAUGCAUCAACUAAUUCAAUUGAGAAAAAAAGUAGAGUAAACGAUUUGGAUGAAGGGAAGAAAAGAAGAGCAGUACAGAGUGAAAACUAAAUAAGGAAUUUGCAGUGUAGAUAAGAGUUCGUUUGGUUGUCCUUAGCAAAACAACAGAAAGGAAAUAAGGUGAAAAAAAAGGAAGCAAAAGGAAGAAAAGAAAAGGAAUGUGCCAUGUGUCAAAAUGAAGGGAGAGUCACUUGGCAACCAUUGAACUUGCUACAAUAGCUCCACUUUCUUCUUAUAUAACUAGGAGGUUUUCGGCUGUGCUUAUAAUCUGUUGUCAUAUAUUUUUGUAUAAGAUAAGAUUAAUAGUAAUGUUUGUGAAAUAGCAUUCUUAAAAUCAUAAAUUACCAAUCAAACAUGUGGCUAACAAUAUAAGACUAAACAAAAUCAGAAAACCAUCAACAUUGCAAAAGAUAAAAGAAGAUGACAAAAGAUUGGCAAGUAGUUUUACAAAUAGCUUCAUAUCUUCAAGUGUAAGUUAGUCUUACAGAGACGGGAGAAGACAUGCUGAAUACUUAAUAUAAAGUGCAAUGAUAAGCUGCAAUUACAAAAUAUCAAAUAUUGAAAUCCAUUAAGUUGCACAAAAGAACAAUUUCUUAAUGGAUGUCAAUAUUGUGUCAAAAGAUGCAAGAUUAGCAAUUCAGCUAUAAAGUGCUUCAAGAUUAGCAAGAUUAGCAAUUCAAAAGGCUUCAAGCAAGUUUAGAGUUCGUUAUUGUGCUGCUUCUUCAAGGGACUUCUUGGUGCAAGAUUAGUUGGAGCGAAAGCUGAGAGUGCAUUGGUGGGCAGUGAGGCAGGUGUAAUAGCUUCAGCAGAAUUUGAUCCAAUUUUAGGAGGUACAGUUCCAAAAGCCAAGGCUCUCUUUGCUGUGGUCACUAGAGGCUGCACUUUGUUUGUAGUAGUAGAAGUUUCAGCGAUGGUAUCAAGCAGUUUUUUGGUUGAUGGAUUGAAAAAUUCAUUUUUGUUAGCAGACUGUAGCACAGUAGCAUGAAGGUCUCGAAUUUUUUCAUUCGUUUCUGUAGCCGUGAUUGCCAUUGGAAUGUGAGCUGAUUCCUCAGUAGUGUAUACCUUGAAAAUAUUAUACUUGCCUUCCUUCUAGCCUUGAUAAUCUGCCUCAUAGUAGCGGAUAAAACACACAAUCGAAUGUUUUCCGAUUGCAGAUGCUAGUUCAACAGAAAAGUUAAGCUCCUACAAUUUUUUGUUUUAAAGUAUAUAUAAUUAUCAAGUGUAUCCUGAAAUAUUAGCUAUUUGUUUGGAAUUAGAAGUUUUUAUUGUAUAUUUUGCUCCUAUACACUUUGCUGAUAUAUAUGAGUAGGCCUAUAUAAUAUGCCAAUAUAUAUAUGAGCUCUUUGUCUGUUUUAAUAACAUUUGACUACUACUAGUGUGAGAACCCGUAUUUCCCUAAUAUUUUCCUAGGGUUUUAGUUCCUUUAAUUGCGUAAUUUUUGCAUUUUCUGGUUUAGAAAUAUUUUCUGGAUGGAUUUUAUGAGCAAUUAUGGUUUUGAGAUGAUUUUUCUAGCAUUGGAGAAUUUUUAAAAAAUUAAGAAUAUAUAUUGGACGUGGGACCCACUAGUGCGAAAAGUUCGGAAAAAUUCGGCCAAUUAGGUUAAAUUUCGGAUACUGGUGGAAAUUUAUCGGGUGUUAAGAGAUAAGUAGAGGGUGACAUGGCAUUGAUGUGAGAGGAAUCAAGUGAUAGGAAGGCAUUAAAUGAAGUGCCAAGUGGCACUAUGUGAUUGGUCCACUUGUUGGACAUUUUUGACUUUUCUUACCAUGGAUUAAAUAUCUCAAAAAUUGACUAAAAAAUUCACUCUUUCUUACCUCUUGUUGGCCGACUCUUGAGAGCUCAAGAAGGAAGAGAAUUGCUUCAAAUUUCAAGCUUCCAUAUAGCUCAAUCUUCCAAACCACUUGCCUAACUUAGUUUCUAUUCCAUAAAAGCCUUCCAUUAGGUGCUAGUGAGUUGCUUAGUGAAGUUUUUUGGAAGAGCUAAGGUGGUCUACAACUCCUCUUCUCUUGUUUACUAGGUAAGUGAUGAUUGAACAUUCUUUUAUAGCUAAUGAUGUUGAAUUUAUGCCUAAUGGUGGCUAUUGUGUUAGAAAUUGUGGAUUAUUUCUUGGUUUGAAGUGAUUUGGUUGAGUUUUUUAUUUUUUGAGGAAUUUUCUGGUUUCAUAUCAUCUUGAUGGUGUGGUUGUUUUUGAUGGUUGGUAAUAAGGGGCUUUGGCUCUAGUAGGUGCAUAUGAUAGAAAAUUGCAAUCAAUUUUGGAUUUGGAAGAAUUUCUGGAAAAUUUGGGUUCUUGGUUGAACAUUCUGUCUGAAAUUUUAGGUCAUAGAUAGAGGCCGAAUUGGACUUUACUCAAAACAUGAAAGUUGUAGGUAUUGAUGAGUUUGAAGUGCCUGCAAAAUUUCAGGGCAUUUGGAGUAGUGUAGAGUGAGUUAUGCCGUUUUUACUGUUGCUGUUCUGGGUGAACAGAAUGUGCGAACUGCGAUAGUAAUUGUCUGUUUUGACUGGAAUUGGUUUGGAUUUUGUUGUUGGUGUCUUCUGAUGAAAUGUAGAGGGAUGUCUUAGCUACCUUAUGCCUUUGGAAUCAAUGCAUUUGGACCUGUAUAGACCGAAUUAUACUGAUUACAGUUUUGUGUGAUUUGUAAACCUGCAAUUACGGUUCAGGUUGUGGUAUUCUGCAGUUUCGACCUAGUUGUGCUAGGAUUUGGACUGAGUGGCCUUCUACAUUAUUGUAGCCCUGUUUCAUAGCUUCGAAACGGUGGGUCUUACACCCCCAUCCGAUGACCGUAGAGAAUUUUACACCAUUACCGCAUAAUAAGGGCAAAACAGUUUUCUAUUUGGGGCCAAGACUAAAGCCAUUUUCUAAUUUCUGGUUUGCUAUUAUGCUCAUUUAUGCAUAUGAAACCCUAUUGGGGUUGUGUUUAGCAUUGCUAUAUGACUCGUUAUCGAGUCUCUUUUAGGGCUUGCUUUCAUUUCGGUUGUUUCCUACCUAACUUUUGUACUUGUACUACUUUGAGCCUAGUGAACGGCUUUUGGGAAUGAGAUGACUUUUGUGUGAGGUGUUGGGACUGAUUUGAGGAAAUAAUGAAGCCUUAAUGGCUGGAAAAGUAAGAAUUUAGGGGAAGUGCUGCCCGAUUUUCUAGGCCGUUUGGUUCUUUAAGUUGGAUUUGCCUUUUGGUGAAAAUGAAAGGACUUUUGGGUUGCUUGAGCCUAGAUUUUCAUGUUACCCUUUUAUUCCCGAAAAUCAGGUUUUGCACCCUUGCAUUAGUAAUUAUUUGGUGAGGUAUACGACUAGUAGUCGAGCCUCACAUGUGCACUCUGUUUACUCGAUUCUGGAUGUGAAACCUUCAAUUGGUUUAUUUUGAUUAUUUUAGGGUUUCUUGGCGAUUAAGGCCAAUCUGAAGUGAAAACUUUUGAAGUUGAGCCGGUGAGUGUACCACUCCCCUCCAUUGCUGUUUAACUUGAUUUCUGCUCUGCAAUCUGUUUAUUUGUUCGAGACGAGGGUGUACUUUAUCACACUCGUUCUCUAGUCUGUUCAUAUGCCAAUUUACUAUGCAAAAUUUGAAUCUGUUAUCUGUGUCUGCAUCUGUUCGGAUUUCUAUGACCUAUGAGCUCAAUCCUGUGGCUAAGUUAUUCGAGUCGGGCCGGCAAGGGCCUGGACGAUUAGAUAACGAACCACGGUAGUCUGUUCGGGAUUGUGGGUAUUGAGACCCUUGAUUCCGGGUAUACUCGAGUAUUACCAUUUCUGUUCGGUUACGGUGAGCGGGCCCGGCAAAGGGGUGUUUGGUGGACGGAAUUCGGUGUAAAGAGGGGUCUACGGACGCGUUGGUUCUAUAUACGUUGACGGAGAGUCAACUGGUUUGGAUCAAGUACUGCGCUGAAAAUUUGGCUCCUGAGAGCCACCUGUAUCCUUCUGAUUUGAAUCAUUAGUUCCUUUGCUUUACAUCUGAUUUGUUAAAUGUGAAAUGUCAUGAUUUUAAUGCUAUCUGUUUGGUACCUCAUUGAGCGCAAGCUCACCCCGUUCUGUUCCUUUUGUUUUCCUUACAGGAAAAAUAAAUACUUUUGGUCUGGAUUUGACAAAUGGCUGCCAAAUUGAGCUAGUGGAACAUAUCUUUUGUAUAGCUCAUGUAUUAAAACCCUAAGCGUACUUUUGGGGCGUUUUCUCUUUUGAUUUGGCAAACCGUGUAUAUGUAUCAACUUUUGAAAACUUUUGUAUGUCAUUUUGGAUUGUUAUCGCUAAAGUUCCGAUAUGAGUGUUUGUGUGCUCUUUCGAUUGGGUUCUGACGGGUCGGUUACUAUUCAUGGCCGACUCCGACUUUGUUUUUUUUUUAUUUUUGUGGGUUCGACUUGUUUUCACGCGGUGGUAUGACCCGAAAAGUAUUAGAUCGUGCUAAUCUGAUCCGUAGUCCUGGCGAGAGCUGAGCAGGCAGUCCGCUAACCCCUUUGGUUCGCCUUAGGGGAAAGUGGGGUUGUUACAAGUGGUAUCAGAGCCACGUCGCGUGGUCUCUGCGCGGAGUGAGACUGGGCCAAGUGGUGUUGUGGUCCUAAUUUCAUGAAUUUGUCUAAGUGCUCGUUUGAGCGUAAGUUAUGAACCGGGUAUGUGAUAAGUGUACGAAUCAUUAUCAUGGGAAUCGAGGAAGCUAGGUAUGUAUGUCGGGUAGGAAUCUUUAAUAAGGAUGGUUUACUCUUGGGACCGGCCGGCUCGAGUUGUGAAUUAUCUUAGAUAAGAUUCUUGCGCCCGGAUACGAAAGAUAUGAGGGCCUAGGUUAGAAAGGAUUUGGUGAACUAGGAAAGCCAUUCCUCGGUGGAUCGUCUAUGUUUGUACUUGACUUAACUGGCUGUGUAUAUGUGUGUGGCUUAAUUUUGACCGGCUUGUAUAUAUAUGUUUUGAUCUUGUUUGGAAUGUAUAAAUGUGUGUUAUCAUAAAAGUUUUGAGUGUUACUUACAUGCAUCGUGCUUAUUUUGGUUUAGUAUUAUUGCCUAGACCAAGUAAAACUCAUGGAAGGUACACGGAGUGGUCGGGGACGUGGGCGCGGAACUAGACAACCCACACCGGUUAGGGGUACGGGGGAAACCUCUACUGGACCCAAUCUGGAACCGCAAGUAAACCCUAAUGUGCAAAUAGCUGCUGCUAUGCAGCAAAUGACAGACUUGCUAGCACAAGUGGUGCAGCAACAGGGCCAAAACCCAAACCCUAACCCUGGAAACCCUGGUAACCAUAUCGAGAGCGAAGACAGAGCUCUCGAACGAUUCCAAAAGUUCGCUCCGCCAAAGUUUGUUGGGGGACCCGACCCAGACGUUGCCGAAAGAUGGCUUGAAAAGAUGGUGGAUAUAUUUGCAGCCCUACACUACCCUGACGAACGACAGGUGACUUUUGCCGUGUUCCAGCUUGAGGGGGCAGCCCGUUCCUGGUGGAACGUAAUUCGGCAGAAGUGGGAACGAGAACAGACACCUAGGACUUGGGUGAACUUCAUCAGAGAGUUCAAUGCGAAGUUUUUCCCUCCCUUAGUUCAGGAAAGGAAGGAAGAUGAGUUUAUUCGACUCUGCCAAGGGGCUCAAUCAGUGGCGGAAUAUGAGAGCCAAUUCACCCGCCUAUCCAAAUUUGCCCCUGAACUGAUCAUGACCGAGCAGCGGCGAAUAAGGCGUUUUAUCCAGGGCUUGAACGUAGAAAUUCAGAAGGAUCUCGCGGUGGCCCAGAUUAAUGCUUUUAGCGAGGCCGUAGAGAAGGCGCAACGAGUAGAAAAUGCCAGGCUGCAGGUGAAGAACUUCCAAACCAAGAAAAGGAGCUUUCCUGGGAGUAGCUCUGAACAAGAAGGUACAAAUACACCCCCUAAGAUUGGAAAGGGAAACGGAGGAGUACGACAACCAGGGGUGUCGCGUGAUGUCCCUCAGGGAGGACCGGUCUCUGCUGCUCGUGGUCCCUGUGGAUAUUGCGGAGGGCCAAGUCAUACGGAAACAAAUUGCUGGAAGAAAGAAGGAAAAUGCUUGCGCUGUGGAAGCGCUGAACAUCGGAUUGCUAACUGUCCAGCUCGCCUGCGCGAGCGGAGAGGGACUCUGCCACCAACCAAGCCCAAUUCUCAGCAACCCGCCAAGAGCAACCCUGGACAGACGAAAGGAGAAGGGACGGGAUUGAAGGCACCAGCUCGAGUAUACUCUCUAGAGCAGCAUCAGGUCCCUGACUCAUCUGAGGAUGGAGAAGGUAUGGUCCGUUGGGUACUUUAGAUUUGAUAGAUUCCGUUGAUAAGAAAAUUUCGAGGACGAAAUUCUUUUAAGGGGGAGAGAGUGUGAGAACCCGUAUUUCCCUAAUAUUUUCCUAGGGUUUUAGUUCCUUUAAUUGCGUAAUUUUUGCAUUUUCUGGCUUAGAAAUAUUUUCUGGAUGGAUUUUAUGAGCAAUUAUGGUUUUGAGAUGAUUUUUCUAGCAUUGGAGAAUUUUUAAAAAAUUAAGAAUAUAUAUUGGACGUGGGACCCACUAGUGCGAAAAGUUCGGAAAAAUUCGGCCAAUUAGGUUAAAUUUCGGAUACUGGUGGAAAUUUAUCGGGUGUUAAGAGAUAAGUAGAGGGUGACAUGGCAUUGAUGUGAGAGGAAUCAAGUGAUAGGAAGGCAUUAAAUGAAGUGCCAAGUGGCACUAUGUGAUUGGUCCACUUGUUGGACAUUUUUGACUUUUCUUACCAUGGAUUAAAUAUCUCAAAAAUUGACUAAAAAAUUCACUCUUUCUUACCUCUUGUUGGCCGACUCUUGAGAGCUCAAGAAGGAAGAGAAUUGCUUCAAAUUUCAAGCUUCCAUAUAGCUCAAUCUUCCAAACCACUUGCCUAACUUAGUUUCUAUUCCAUAAAAGCCUUCCAUUAGGUGCUAGUGAGUUGCUUAGUGAAGUUUUUUGGAAGAGCUAAGGUGGUCUACAACUCCUCUUCUCUUGUUUACUAGGUAAGUGAUGAUUGAACAUUCUUUUAUAGCUAAUGAUGUUGAAUUUAUGCCUAAUGGUGGCUAUUGUGUUAGAAAUUGUGGAUUAUUUCUUGGUUUGAAGUGAUUUGGUUGAGUUUUUUAUUUUUUGAGGAAUUUUCUGGUUUCAUAUGAUCUUGAUGGUGUGGUUGUUUUUGAUGGUUGGUAAUAAGGGGCUUUGGCUCUAGUAGGUGCAUAUGAUAGAAAAUUGCAAUCAAUUUUGGAUUUGGAAGAAUUUCUGGAAAAUUUGGGUUCUUGGUUGAACAUUCUGUCCGAAAUUUUAGGUCAUAGAUAGAGGCCGAAUUGGACUUUACUCAAAACAUGAAAGUUGUAGGUAUUGAUGAGUUUGAAGUGCCUGCAAAAUUUCAGGGCAUUUGGAGUAGUGUAGAGUGAGUUAUGCCGUUUUUACUGUUGCUGUUCUGGGUGAACAGAAUGUGCGAACUGCGAUAGUAAUUGUCUGUUUUGACUGGAAUUGGUUUGGAUUUUGUUGUUGGUGUCUUCUGAUGAAAUGUAGAGGGAUGUCUUAGCUACCUUAUGCCUUUGGAAUCAAUGCAUUUGGACCUGUAUAGACCGAAUUAUACUGAUUACAGUUUUGUGUGAUUUGUAAACCUGCAAUUACGGUUCAGGUUGUGGUAUUCUGCAGUUUCGACCUAGUUGUGCUAGGAUUUGGACUGAGUGGCCUUCUACAUUAUUGUAGCCCUGUUUCAUAGCUUCGAAACGGUGGGUCUUACACCCCCAUCCGAUGACCGUAGAGAAUUUUACACCAUUACCGCAUAAUAAGGGCAAAACAGUUUUCUAUUUGGGGCCAAGACUAAAGCCAUUUUCUAAUUUCUGGUUUGCUAUUAUGCUCAUUUAUGCAUAUGAAACCCUAUUGGGGUUGUGUUUAGCAUUGCUAUAUGACUCGUUAUCGAGUCUCUUUUAGGGCUUGCUUUCAUUUCGGUUGUUUCCUACCUAACUUUUGUACUUGUACUACUUUGAGCCUAGUGAACGGCUUUUGGGAAUGAGAUGACUUUUGUGUGAGGUGUUGGGACUGAUUUGAGGAAAUAAUGAAGCCUUAAUGGCUGGAAAAGUAAGAAUUUAGGGGAAGUGCUGCCCGAUUUUCUAGGCCGUUUGGUUCUUUAAGUUGGAUUUGCCUUUUGGUGAAAAUGAAAGGACUUUUGGGUUGCUUGAGCCUAGAUUUUCAUGUUACCCUUUUAUUCCCGAAAAUCAGGUUUUGCACCCUUGCAUUAGUAAUUAUUUGGUGAGGUAUACGACUAGUAGUCGAGCCUCACAUGUGCACUCUGUUUACUCGAUUCUGGAUGUGAAACCUUCAAUUGGUUUAUUUUGAUUAUUUUAGGGUUUCUUGGCGAUUAAGGCCAAUCUGAAGUGAAAACUUUUGAAGUUGAGCCGGUGAGUGUACCACUCCCCUCCAUUGCUGUUUAACUUGAUUUCUGCUCUGCAAUCUGUUUAUUUGUUCGAGACGAGGGUGUACUUUAUCACACUCGUUCUCUAGUCUGUUCAUAUGCCAAUUUACUAUGCAAAAUUUGAAUCUGUUAUCUGUGUCUGCAUCUGUUCGGAUUUCUAUGACCUAUGAGCUCAAUCCUGUGGCUAAGUUAUUCGAGUCGGGCCGGCAAGGGCCUGGACGAUUAGAUAACGAACCACGGUAGUCUGUUCGGGAUUGUGGGUAUUGAGACCCUUGAUUCCGGGUAUACUCGAGUAUUACCAUUUCUGUUCGGUUACGGUGAGCGGGCCCGGCAAAGGGGUGUUUGGUGGACGGAAUUCGGUGUAAAGAGGGGUCUACGGACGCGUUGGUUCUAUAUACGUUGACGGAGAGUCAACUGGUUUGGAUCAAGUACUGCGCUGAAAAUUUGGCUCCUGAGAGCCACCUGUAUCCUUCUGAUUUGAAUCAUUAGUUCCUUUGCUUUACAUCUGAUUUGUUAAAUGUGAAAUGUCAUGAUUUUAAUGCUAUCUGUUUGGUACCUCAUUGAGCGCAAGCUCACCCCGUUCUGUUCCUUUUGUUUUCCUUACAGGAAAAAUAAAUACUUUUGGUCUGGAUUUGACAAAUGGCUGCCAAAUUGAGCUAGUGGAACAUAUCUUUUGUAUAGCUCAUGUAUUAAAACCCUAAGCGUACUUUUGGGGCGUUUUCUCUUUUGAUUUGGCAAACCGUGUAUAUGUAUCAACUUUUGAAAACUUUUGUAUGUCAUUUUGGAUUGUUAUCGCUAAAGUUCCGAUAUGAGUGUUUGUGUGCUCUUUCGAUUGGGUUCUGACGGGUCGGUUACUAUUCAUGGCCGACUCCGACUUUGUUUUUUUUUUAUUUUUGUGGGUUCGACUUGUUUUCACGCGGUGGUAUGACCCGAAAAGUAUUAGAUCGUGCUAAUCUGAUCCGUAGUCCUGGCGAGAGCUGAGCAGGCAGUCCGCUAACCCCUUUGGUUCGCCUUAGGGGAAAGUGGGGUUGUUACAAGUGGUAUCAGAGCCACGUCGCGUGGUCUCUGCGCGGAGUGAGACUGGGCCAAGUGGUGUUGUGGUCCUAAUUUCAUGAAUUUGUCUAAGUGCUCGUUUGAGCGUAAGUUAUGAACCGGGUAUGUGAUAAGUGUACGAAUCAUUAUCAUGGGAAUCGAGGAAGCUAGGUAUGUAUGUCGGGUAGGAAUCUUUAAUAAGGAUGGUUUACUCUUGGGACCGGCCGGCUCGAGUUGUGAAUUAUCUUAGAUAAGAUUCUUGCGCCCGGAUACGAAAGAUAUGAGGGCCUAGGUUAGAAAGGAUUUGGUGAACUAGGAAAGCCAUUCCUCGGUGGAUCGUCUAUGUUUGUACUUGACUUAACUGGCUGUGUAUAUGUGUGUGGCUUAAUUUUGACCGGCUUGUAUAUAUAUGUUUUGAUCUUGUUUGGAAUGUAUAAAUGUGUGUUAUCAUAAAAGUUUUGAGUGUUACUUACAUGCAUCGUGCUUAUUUUGGUUUAGUAUUAUUGCCUAGACCAAGUAAAACUCAUGGAAGGUACACGGAGUGGUCGGGGACGUGGGCGCGGAACUAGACAACCCACACCGGUUAGGGGUACGGGGGAAACCUCUACUGGACCCAAUCUGGAACCGCAAGUAAACCCUAAUGUGCAAAUAGCUGCUGCUAUGCAGCAAAUGACAGACUUGCUAGCACAAGUGGUGCAGCAACAGGGCCAAAACCCAAACCCUAACCCUGGAAACCCUGGUAACCAUAUCGAGAGCGAAGACAGAGCUCUCGAACGAUUCCAAAAGUUCGCUCCGCCAAAGUUUGUUGGGGGACCCGACCCAGACGUUGCCGAAAGAUGGCUUGAAAAGAUGGUGGAUAUAUUUGCAACCCUACACUACCCUGACGAACGACAGGUGACUUUUGCCGUGUUCCAGCUUGAGGGGGCAGCCCGUUCCUGGUGGAACGUAAUUCGGCAGAAGUGGGAACGAGAACAGACACCUAGGACUUGGGUGAACUUCAUCAGAGAGUUCAAUGCGAAGUUUUUCCCUCCCUUAGUUCAGGAAAGGAAGGAAGAUGAGUUUAUUCGACUCUGCCAAGGGGCUCAAUCAGUGGCGGAAUAUGAGAGCCAAUUCACCCGCCUAUCCAAAUUUGCCCCUGAACUGAUCAUGACCGAGCAGCGGCGAAUAAGGCGUUUUAUCCAGGGCUUGAACGUAGAAAUUCAGAAGGAUCUCGCGGUGGCCCAGAUUAAUGCUUUUAGCGAGGCCGUAGAGAAGGCGCAACGAGUAGAAAAUGCCAGGCUGCAGGUGAAGAACUUCCAAACCAAGAAAAGGAGCUUUCCUGGGAGUAGCUCUGAACAAGAAGGUACAAAUACACCCCCUAAGAUUGGAAAGGGAAACGGAGGAGUACGACAACCAGGGGUGUCGCGUGAUGUCCCUCAGGGAGGACCGGUCUCUGCUGCUCGUGGUCCCUGUGGAUAUUGCGGAGGGCCAAGUCAUACGGAAACAAAUUGCUGGAAGAAAGAAGGAAAAUGCUUGCGCUGUGGAAGCGCUGAACAUCGGAUUGCUAACUGUCCAGCUCGCCUGCGCGAGCGGAGAGGGACUCUGCCACCAACCAAGCCCAAUUCUCAGCAACCCGCCAAGAGCAACCCUGGACAGACGAAAGGAGAAGGGACGGGAUUGAAGGCACCAGCUCGAGUAUACUCUCUAGAGCAGCAUCAGGUCCCUGACUCAUCUGAGGAUGGAGAAGGUAUGGUCCGUUGGGUACUUUAGAUUUGAUAGAUUCCGUUGAUAAGAAAAUUUCGAGGACGAAAUUCUUUUAAGGGGGAGAGAGUGUGAGAACCCGUAUUUCCCUAAUAUUUUCCUAGGGUUUUAGUUCCUUUAAUUGCGUAAUUUUUGCAUUUUCUGGCUUAGAAAUAUUUUCUGGAUGGAUUUUAUGAGCAAUUAUGGUUUUGAGAUGAUUUUUCUAGCAUUGGAGAAUUUUUAAAAAAUUAAGAAUAUAUAUUGGACGUGGGACCCACUAGUGCGAAAAGUUCGGAAAAAUUCGGCCAAUUAGGUUAAAUUUCGGAUACUGGUGGAAAUUUAUCGGGUGUUAAGAGAUAAGUAGAGGGUGACAUGGCAUUGAUGUGAGAGGAAUCAAGUGAUAGGAAGGCAUUAAAUGAAGUGCCAAGUGGCACUAUGUGAUUGGUCCACUUGUUGGACAUUUUUGACUUUUCUUACCAUGGAUUAAAUAUCUCAAAAAUUGACUAAAAAAUUCACUCUUUCUUACCUCUUGUUGGCCGACUCUUGAGAGCUCAAGAAGGAAGAGAAUUGCUUCAAAUUUCAAGCUUCCAUAUAGCUCAAUCUUCCAAACCACUUGCCUAACUUAGUUUCUAUUCCAUAAAAGCCUUCCAUUAGGUGCUAGUGAGUUGCUUAGUGAAGUUUUUUGGAAGAGCUAAGGUGGUCUACAACUCCUCUUCUCUUGUUUACUAGGUAAGUGAUGAUUGAACAUUCUUUUAUAGCUAAUGAUGUUGAAUUUAUGCCUAAUGGUGGCUAUUGUGUUAGAAAUUGUGGAUUAUUUCUUGGUUUGAAGUGAUUUGGUUGAGUUUUUUAUUUUUUGAGGAAUUUUCUGGUUUCAUAUGAUCUUGAUGGUGUGGUUGUUUUUGAUGGUUGGUAAUAAGGGGCUUUGGCUCUAGUAGGUGCAUAUGAUAGAAAAUUGCAAUCAAUUUUGGAUUUGGAAGAAUUUCUGGAAAAUUUGGGUUCUUGGUUGAACAUUCUGUCCGAAAUUUUAGGUCAUAGAUAGAGGCCGAAUUGGACUUUACUCAAAACAUAAAAGUUGUAGGUAUUGAUGAGUUUGAAGUGCCUGCAAAAUUUCAGGGCAUUUGGAGUAGUGUAGAGUGAGUUAUGCCGUUUUUACUGUUGCUGUUCUGGGUGAACAGAAUGUGCGAACUGCGAUAGUAAUUGUCUGUUUUGACUGGAAUUGGUUUGGAUUUUGUUGUUGGUGUCUUCUGAUGAAAUGUAGAGGGAUGUCUUAGCUACCUUAUGCCUUUGGAAUCAAUGCAUUUGGACCUGUAUAGACCGAAUUAUACUGAUUACAGUUUUGUGUGAUUUGUAAAGCUGCAAUUACGGUUCAGGUUGUGGUAUUCUGCAUUUUCGACCUAGUUGUGCUAGGAUUUGGACUGAGUGGCCUUCUACAUUAUUGUAGCCCUGUUUCAUAGCUUCGAAACGGUGGGUCUUACACCCCCAUCCGAUGACCGUAGAGAAUUUUACACCAUUACCGCAUAAUAAGGGCAAAACAGUUUUCUAUUUGGGGCCAAGACUAAGGCCAUUUUCUAAUUUCUGGUUUGCUAUUAUGCUCAUUUAUGCAUAUGAAACCCUAUUGGGGUUGUGUUUAGCAUUGCUAUAUGACUCGUUAUCGAGUCUCUUUUAGGGCUUGCUUUCAUUUCGGUUGUUUCCUACCUAACUUUUGUACUUGUACUACUUUGAGCCUAGUGAACGGCUUUUGGGAAUGAGAUGACUUUUGUGUGAGGUGUUGGGACUGAUUUGAGGAAAUAAUGAAGCCUUAAUGGCUGGAAAAGUAAGAAUUUAGGGGAAGUGCUGCCCGAUUUUCUAGGCCGUUUGGUUCUUUAAGUUGGAUUUGCCUUUUGGUGAAAAUGAAAGGACUUUUGGGUUGCUUGAGCCUAGAUUUUCAUGUUACCCUUUUAUUCCCGAAAAUCAGGUUUUGCACCCUUGCAUUAGUAAUUAUUUGGUGAGGUAUACGACUAGUAGUCGAGCCUCACAUGUGCACUCUGUUUACUCGAUUCUGGAUGUGAAACCUUCAAUUGGUUUAUUUUGAUUAUUUUAGGGUUUCUUGGCGAUUAAGGCCAAUCUGAAGUGAAAACUUUUGAAGUUGAGCCGGUGAGUGUACCACUCCCCUCCAUUGCUGUUUAACUUGAUUUCUGCUCUGCAAUCUGUUUAUUUGUUCGAGACGAGGGUGUACUUUAUCACACUCGUUCUCUAGUCUGUUCAUAUGCCAAUUUACUAUGCAAAAUUUGAAUCUGUUAUCUGUGUCUGCAUCUGUUCGGAUUUCUAUGACCUAUGAGCUCAAUCCUGUGGCUAAGUUAUUCGAGUCGGGCCGGCAAGGGCCUGGACGAUUAGAUAACGAACCACGGUAGUCUGUUCGGGGAUUGUGGGUAUUGAGACCCUUGAUUCCGGGUAUACUCGAGUAUUACCAUUUCUGUUCGGUUACGGUGAGCGGGCCCGGCAAAGGGGUGUUUGGUGGACGGAAUUCGGUGUAAAGAGGGGUCUACGGACCCGUUGGUUCUAUAUACGUUGACGGAGAGUCAACUGGUUUGGAUCAAGUACUGCGCUGGAAAUUUGGCUCCUGAGAGCCACCUGUAUCCUUCUGAUUUGAAUCAUUAGUUCCUUUGCUUUACAUCUGAUUUGUUAAAUGUGAAAUGCCAUGAUUUUAAUGCUAUCUGUUUGGUACCUCAUUGAGCGCAAGCUCACCCCGUUCUGUUCCUUUUGUUUUCCUUACAGGAAAAAUAAAUACUUUUGGUCUGGAUUUGACAAAUGGCUGCCAAAUUGAGCUAGUGGAACAUAUCUUUUGUAUAGCUCAUGUAUUAAAACCCUAAGCGUACUUUUGGGGCGUUUUCUCUUUUGAUUUGGCAAACCGUGUAUAUGUAUCAACUUUUGAAAACUUUUGUAUGUCAUUUUGGAUUGUUAUCGCUAAAGUUCCGAUAUGAGUGUUUGUGUGCUCUUUCGAUUGGGUUCUGACGGGUCGGUUACUAUUCAUGGCCGACUCCGACUUUGUUUUUUUUUUAUUUUUGUGGGUUCGACUUGUUUUCACGCGGUGGUAUGACCCGAAAAGUAUUAGAUCGUGCUAAUCUGAUCCGUAGUCCUGGCGAGAGCUGAGCAGGCAGUCCGCUAACCCCUUUGGUUCGCCUUAGGGGAAAGUGGGGUUGUUACAACUAACUUCGUCAAAGAGACCAUCUAUUGAAUUUGAGUGUUCGCUUGUCUUUCUUUUUCGCAUUCAAUAGCAUAGCACAGAGGUCUGACUAAUGAUUAACUAAUACAAUAGCAACUAAAAGUACAUACACAUAGUCAGUUUUAACUCGAGCCAAACAUGUCAUGUAUAGAUACCAAGAUAAUAACCAAGAACUCAAGCAAUAAUAAACAAAACUUACUAUCAGAUUUUAAGGAGAAGAACAUAUUUUAUAUUUCUUAAUGGUUAUUAAUGUUAAUAAAAGCUAAAACUUUCCAACAGAAAACAUGUGGCCUCUAAUUUAAUCAAUAACAUAACAGUUUCAAAACUCUAAGUACAUAAAAAAAAGUGCAAAUCAAAAGCAUAAAUCUUAAAUUUGAUCUUGAGUUUUUUAGACAAACCUCAUAGCAACGUAUGCAAACUUGCAAGAACAAAGCACAAAUAGCCUACAACAGAGGCAACUUCAAUUUAAAUGAAAAUUUUAAUUUUGCAAUUAAAGCAAAAAAAAAAAGAAUAAAAUUCAAUGCAGAUAAGGGGGAAAAGUUCAAAAUUUAAAAAAAUAUUAAUAAAUGAAUAUAAAUAAGCAAGAGAGUAAAGGUAAUUUAUUGUUUUUUAUCAGGUGAAAGAUGAACAAGAAAAGAUGGGGGAGGGAUGGGUUAGGUGGCAUGGGGGGAGGGAGUGUAAGUAAGAGGUCUCAGGUUCGAAUCCUUCAACUUACACUAAAAAAAAUGAAAAAUUAAAAAAAAAAAAAAAGAUAGCAAAAAAAUAAACCAUACCACGUGGGGAAAGUGAAGCAACAAGAGCAAAACACCAAUUGUUUUUUUUUUUUUCUUAUCCUUCUUAAACCAAAUAAAUGAUCAUGAUUACUUGUGAAAAAAGCUUAAAGGAAGCAUCAAAUCUAUCAAUGAUCUCUAGGUUGAUCAAUGGUUUGAAAUUGAGAAGGUACAAUAAAGGUUAGAGAAAGAUGGUGUUUUCUCUAAAAGCUUUUCAUGCCCUAAAAAAGUCUAGACUAAACGAAACAGCAAACAAGGCACACACUAAGUUCUCUGGAAAAUUGUUAAUCACUCCUAUUUCUCAUUUAGAACAACAACAGGUCACAUAUCUCAUCUGAGAUAUUAUAACUAUAAUUCAUUCUAAGAAAAACUAUCUUAGGUUCUGUAUAACUUCUUAUUUUUAUGUGUUACCAAAUUGUCCAUUGUGAUUAAAGAGAAAAACACCAGUAGCAGGAGGUUGAAAUUAGUUAAAAAGGAACUUGUCAUGUAAUAAUAACUUUAGCAUAGCAGCCACAACCCCAAAAUCAGCACAAGCAAAAGUUUGUCUCACAAAAUAUAUUGUGCUAAUGACUUUGGCUCACAAAAUAUGUUAUUGAUGUCCAUUACUACAAUUUUUUAUCUAGUGUAUAUAGCAAUUUGACUGUUUGAUAGUACAUUGAUUAUAUACAAACCAGUAGGAUAGCUCAAUUGGCCAGAAUCACAUCAGCAAAUGGAUCUCUCUUUUUUGUAGGUAUUCCACUAAUAAUAUAUAUAUAUAUAUAUAUAUAUAUAUAUAUAUAUUCAAGAAUUCACCAAAUUUCAAAAUAAGGAUUAUUGAACUGGGAGCUGGAUUCGUAUUUUCAUUUUUGGCUUGUUUUUUUAGGUGAAUGGGUUGCAGCAACACAAUUGGAUUGAGAAAAUAUUAACACAAUCACCUACUCAAAUAAACAACCAUUUGUUUCACAAAGGAUCACAUAAAACAAAUAGCACCAGCAAACUUAAAAUAAAUGAAGCAGAAACUGAAGAAAAACUACUAAAAAAAAAGGAAAGGUGAAAUUUCACUUUUGAAAAUAUAGUCACAUAAAAUGAAGAAAAGCUGCUCAUAGAUUCAAGAAAGACAACAAGCUGACCUUCAAGUUAAAGGAUUCCUUGACUGAUGAUAUGAACUGCAGCAGAAGGAACCUAUCAAUUGAAACAUAUGUGUAUAUUAGAAUUUAUUAAUCUGUCUAUUACUUAUACAGGGAAAAUUUGACAAAAAAAAAGGGAAAAACUUUUUCUCACCAAAGAGACUCCAAAGAGAAAGUGUAAAGAUCAAGAUGCUUCUUCUUGCAUUUUGUAAGACAGAGGAGCCAGCACCAUGCACUGAUAAAUACCUCUAUUCCAUUUUUUGAUUUCGUAAUUCACUGGAAAGGUUACAGGCUAAAUGAAUAGGAAACCUAUUUCUUAUCAUAAUUGGAAUAAGGGAAAAAUCACAUCAGAAAAAAUAUUUCUCAUCAUAAUCGUACGGCUGAUGAGAAUUGAAAAGAAAGCAUGAUUUGAGCAGAAAAUUGAAUGGCAAAGCUAAUGAGAAUAGAAUGUCAUACCUAAUCUAACAAAAAGUUCCCAAUUUCGCUCAUUUGAAGUACAAUUAUCAUGUGAGUAUCCAACAAUUCUUGCAACAUGAAAUUAAUAGAAAGAGAAAUGGGUUAACAUGAAAUCAAUUCUUGCAACAUGAAAUAGGUUAAUUUGAUAUUAGAGAAAGAGGAAACCACAGCAAGUGUAGACAAGAGUAAUUCACCUGCUCCUAACUUUCCUCCUUUGAAGUACAAACACCAUAUGAGUGACCAGCAAUCUCUACAACAUGAAAUCAAGUGUCUGCAGGAGUAGCAGUUGACCUACUGGCUUGAAGAAGGAACUCACAAAACCCAUCUCCCAAAUCAUGUAAAAAAUCCCAACUUUUUGGCUAGAAUAGGCGUUUCGAAUUGGGUUUGGUAGAAUAGCCGUUUGGAAUUGGAUUUGCUCAAAAUAGGCGCACCAUAUUUUGGCUCAGAAUAGCCGUCUGGUAGAGAGAAAGGAAGAAAAGACUUCAAUGGCAAUUUGAGAAAGAAACUGUUUAAUGCCAAAAGAAAGAACAUGUUUCGGACAAUUUGGAAGGCAUAUUUGACUUUUCCACAUGGCAAAAGAAAAAAGAAAGCACUAAUAAGGUAAAGAAACAGUUCAAUGCCAAAAGAAAGAGAAGGUUUCGGACAAUUUGAAAGAAAUAUUAAGAGAAGGCUUCAGACAAUUUGCAAGAAAUAUUUGACCUUGUCACUUGUCAAAUAAUUAAGAAGCCACUUGGUAAAAGAAAAGAAAAGCACUAAACCUUCAUCUUUUCUUAUAUACAAGGAAUGAAGAUUACUUUUUUUUUUAACGAGUACAACAAUAUAAUAAAUUAAUAAUGUAUUUGUAAAUCAAAUGAUGGAACGAGCACUAUAAUAGUACAGAACGGCACGACAUCACAAUUGCUGUGUCAUUCAAUCCCAUACCACAAAUUUAGCAUAUGAUAUACAAUUGGGACUUGAGAACCAGUACAAAAAUCUUAAGUGAUUAAAUAUUGAAAAAGCAAAAUUCAUCAGAGAAGAAAAUUUUUAUGUUUGUCACGUACAACUGGCACAUACAUUUUUUUUUAGACGAUAAAUCUAAUCUAUCCUACAUUAAGGGAAGGGGGCGGAUCUAAGGAGGCUAAGAAAUAAUCCGGAAGAGACUGAAUUACCAUCGGACUAGAUAGACGGUGCACAACACACUCGCUUGAAUUUUUUUUGGAAACAAUCCACUUAGAUGUGAUAUUUUUGAUGAUCCUUGCCUCCCACCCCACCAAUUACGUGGUGGCCACUGAGCCAAUGGCCCAGUGGUUAACGGGCACAUACACGAAUGACCAGGAAUCAUGUGCACUCUUGACUAUUCUUCUUCAAUGACGUAACAUUUCUUGGAUGAAUUGGAUUUUGCUGGAUGAAUGAAUGAGGUUCAAUUAUCUUUAAGGAAAAAGACAAUUUAAUAUUAUUGUCUAAAAAGACAAUUGAAUGAGCCAAGAACUGAUGUUUUGUGUUUGUCUCUACUUUACAAUUAGAGAUCAAAAUCGAGAUGUGCAAAAAUUUUGAACAAGCAAGAACUACUAGCCAAUAAACAUAAACAUAGCACAAGAACUAUCGCAACAGGAGAGCCAAAGUGUUUAAUUAAUGGAAAUACUGUUAGAAAGCUGAUCUUCUGCAGUCUAAUUAAGAUUUCAUUGCACUUAAUCUAACUCAAGAAGUUACAGUCCUUAUUAAUCAGAAUUUCUCCUGAUUAAAGAACAUAAUUAUUUUGUUUGGAUGAACAGAAAAUCUACCUACGAAUAUGAGCAAUGAAAGAAUCCAUCUCCAAGCGACUAGUACCGCCUUCCAUAACAGAAUCCUUUACUGCUUUGCUCAAUUCUUUUGCCCUUUGCCUCAUCUCUUCUCCUUCAGCUGAAUCCAUCAAUCUUCUCACAGCAUUUUCAACAGCCAUGGAUGUCACAAGUUCGUCCCGCCGAGACCAGUCCCUUACUGAUAGACCAAUCUUCAGCACCUUUUCCAGUAUUAUUGCGUUUCUGGGCUGCUCAGAAUGCAUAGGCCAUGCUGCCACGGGCACUCCCAUGCUAAUGCUUUCCAUACACGAGUUCCAUCCGCAGUGACUCAUGAAUCCACCUGUUGAUGAAUGUCCAAGAAUCUCCAGUUGAGGUGCCCAAUCCCUCACAAUUAUUCCUCUUCCUUCAGUUCUUUCUUCGAAUCCUCCGGGCAACUGAGCUCUCCUAACUUCUCCCUUGAAGAUAUCUCCUUGAUCUCCAUCCUUCAGUAUCCAUAUGAACUUUUGCCCGCUUUUCUCUAAUCCAAUCGCGAUCUGCGCGGCUUCCUCGUGUGAUACUGAAGUAUUCGAACCAAAGCAAACAAAAAUGACCGAGUUUGGGCCUUGUUUGUCAAGCCACUCCAGGCAAUAGUGUCUCUGUUCUGUGUUUUUCUGCCCAUUGAUCUCAACUGGAUUGAAGGGACCAACAGCCCAUUGCUUGUGGGAAUCGGCAGUUUUGGCUUUUGCAAGAAGAUCAAGGUACGGACCCUCUAUAAACCUGCAUGUGUUGUACAGAUCGCCAGAGAUAAUUGGCAUGGAUUCCUUUUGCAAUUUUAAGAAAUCUGUCACCUCCUGAGGUAAAGAACUUUCAUGUGAUGGAAGACUUUCGAGUGCUUCAAGUAUUUCAGGCUCAAAUACUCUAGGUUUCCCUUCUUGUUCCCAAGAAAACGUGUAAAUAGCGAAGGCUGAGAUACUUAUAAACGUGUAGGACUCUGCAUUCGGUAUUAAACCCACAUCCUUGAUGACAUAUGGCGUAACAGAGUCACAAAUAACAACCAAUCUUCUCGUUGUGCUAGAAAGUUGUUGCAGAAGUGCGUGAACUGGCUCCCGGAGUUUGACGGAUGCAUUCAACACUGGGAUGAGUUGAGUGGGAAAUUUUGUUGGGGCGUUUGGGUCGGGAGGAGGAGCUUCAUAAGAAGGGGUGGAAAAUUCGUGGAAAUGGAUGUUGGAAAUGGCGAGAGGAUCCCAACCUUGGACUCGGACCUUUGCUUGGCGAGUAUGAGUGGCCGUGCCAACAUAGUGAACGGGUAUAUUGUAGGAGGAGAUGAGGCGGGAGAGAUGCAGGAGUUGGUUGAGAUGACCUUGUAAAGGAAGGGGAACCAUCACCACAGUUACUUCAUGUGUUUCUUGAAUACUAGCAAUUUGGUUUUGGACUGUUGAAUGAUCAUUUUUGGCCAUUGGAAGAAUUUGGGAUUUGGAAAUUUUGGAAAGUUCUUUUUACUUUCAGCUUGUUGGAAUUGCCCUGCUCUUAUAAGGCGUGUAAGAUGAAAGAUGCGGUCCUUAGUCGUAGUCAGAAUUACUUGACGUCCAACACGGACUAGUCCAUGGAUUGGUGGCCACGGAAGCAUCUCAAAGCAAUUGAGGAAAAGCUGAAUACCCUCGAAAGAGAAGUGGAUUUUUCAUGUAUAGUGAAAACAAUUGGUUAUUGGACAAAGUUGACCACACAAACUUGACCACCAAGGUUGCCCGGUUAGCAAAGUUUGACUUUGAUCCCAGGACUCAAUUAUUGGAUCUGUAAUAGAACAUGUGUGAGCUGGAUUUCUUUGUCACCUUUAACAAGGAAGCAGCAGAAGAACUGUCCAGAAGAUGUGAACAUGGAGGAUUAGGUGCUGGGACCGUUGUGCAUUGACAUUUGUAAGGGAUAAUUUCCCAAAACCACUCUUCGCGCUUUUCAUAAUAUCACUCAGCCUCUUAAAUUUUCUAAAAUCUUUACUACCUCCCCUGUCAGUUUGACAAAAUCAAGGGAUAAUUCCAAAAACCUCCCUUAAAGUUACUACUAUUGAUUGUUUCACUAGCCUCUCUCUUGGUUUUAAAAAUUAUACUAACCUCUUUUGAGGUCUAUUAUCUUGUAGCAUUUAGAUCCAACCAACAAUUAAAAAGUGAUAUUAGGAGAGAGAAAAUAAUAUGAUUUCACCAUUACCCCUCAUCUACUAAAUUAUUUAAUUAAUCUAAUGCCCACCCAAAUAUUAAAGAAAAUAUUAGAAUUUUCUGUUUAUCAUCAGGGAUUAAAUCACAUAUGGUAUCAAAAAAUAGUAUAUCAUUCUAUAUAUUUUAUUUAAUGUAACAUCUAAAUUGAUCUUUUUAGUUACAAACUCAUCGUCAAACAUGAUCAACAACAAAUAAUCAAAAAAAAUUUAUAACCAAAAUAUUACAAAGAGUGAAAUUUAAUACCAUAAAAUUCUCAACAGCUAACCUUAAUAUGUUGAUAAAAACAUUUAUGAUAUUAAAGUUUGUUCUAUGUAAUAUUUUUGGUUGUAAAUUUUUUGAUUAUUUGUUAUUGAUCAUGUUUGAUAACGGGUAUAUAAUUGAAAAGAGUAAUUUGGAUCUUAUAUUAAAUGAAAAAUAUAACAUGAUAUACUAUUUUUUGAUACCAUAUGAGAUUUGAUCGCUAAUGAUAAAUAUUAAAUUGCAGUUUUUUUUAAUGUGUGGGUUGGUGUUAUAUUAAUUAAAUAAUGUAAUAGAUAAGAGACAAUGAUAGAAUCAUAUUAUCUUUUUUCUCAUAAUAUUACUUUUUAAUUAUCAAUUGGGUCUAAAUGUUACAAGAUAAUUAAUUUCAGGGGGAGGUUAGUAUAAUUUUUGAAAUCUAGAGGGAGGCCAGUGAAAUAGUCAGAAACUUCAAGGGAGGUUUCUGAAAUUAUCCCUAAAACCAAAUGUCUCCAUCAAGGAACUCUUGCCCAUUGAAGGGACCAACAGCCCAUUCCUUGUGGCUUUUGCAAGAAGAUCAAGUUAUGGACGCUCUAUAAACCUGCAUGUAUUACCAACUCCUUCACUCAAAUAAUAACGAAUGUCCAGUUUCACACCUAAUAAUCACCUCAAACUCUAAUUACAUUAUCUAUCAUUAGAGACAAUAAAAAAGGAUAAGAGUACAAAGUCAUAUAGAUCCAAUUUAAACAAAAGAUUCUGAAAUCUAAUUUUACACUUCUUUUAUUCUCAGGCAAUUAUUUGUGAAAAUUAAAAUCAUGAAAAUAAACUACCUAUCAUGAAUACAGGCUAGUAAUUCAAAAUGUUGAAUGAAAAGAUACGAAAUAUUUUCUUCACAUCCUAAAUUUUUGGCCCCAACAAUUAUUUUACAUAUCAAUAACCUUAUCUAGUAAAUAAGCAUUUUUCACUAUUAAGAAACUUUAUAUAAAUCAAAAUAUCAAAAUAUAAUUAUCUAUCCAAAAUAUCAAAAGAAUAGGAUACAAUACAACUGUGCCUGCCCAUAUUCAAUUAUGAUAUAUAAACAUAUGUACCCAUUUUUCUGUUUUUUCUACCCAAAGAAAGUGGACUCAUUCUGACUACUCUUCUUCAAUCAAUUUAAACAACAAAGAAUUUUCACCAUGUUUUCCCAAAAUCGGCAUUAAAGAAAAAGGACAUCGGAAAAAUAAUAAAGAAAAAGCACCACCAUAUUGCACUAACGUAUUCAGUACUCUCUAGAUGCUUGAAAAACUAGUGGCUGACAUGCAUUAUUAGUGAACUUUAGUCCGAGAUACACUUUGAUUUGAACAUUCAACACUUUUGUCUUUCUACGGCGAAAGACCAAAACCUGAUUGUUAAUUGCAUCUUCGUCUUAUGCUGGACAACUAUUUCUUGUUGAAUUCGACUCCUGCAAUAGAUAUUUAAAUCCCUCUUUCAACGUUGGUCUUAAGACAAAGCACCUAAUAAGUCCAGAAGGUUGUGGAAGUAGUUUUUUUUAGUAAGUUCCGUUACAAUGAUAUCUUCAAGAUUGGAAAUUGCUUUGUCAGUGGAAGCCCGCAAUAGACGAUUAGCCAUACCAUGACAAUAAAACAUGAAAAAAAAAAAAAUACUUUUCUUGUUUAUCUCGUAUCCAAUAAAGAUUGAAUGAUGUAACAUUUCUUUGAUGAAUUGAAAACUGCCAAAUUACAUUUUUGCUGGAUGAAUUAGGUUUGAUUAUUUUUGGUUGGGCAAUGACAAAAUGUCCAGCGGACUAUCGUGCCAAGCUCUGUUUUCAUCUCCAAAGAACAUGUUCAUCACUUAAAUUGCCUGUUUGUUUUCUAAGAUUCCCAUUUCUCAAAAUUUUGAUUUUUAUCAGCUUUACUUCUAAAGACUUCCUGUAAUCUAAUCUAUCCAAAUCUAGGGGGAGGGGGAGGCACUAGAAGUAGAAACUCUAUCAGAAAAAGCCACCGAAAGCAGCCACAUAUAAUGACAAUUUGGUGGGAGGCAAGGAUUGAAUCUUAAUCUCCCAACACCACCAAGACUUAAGUGCUUGGCAGUGACCACCAGGUCAAAGGGCUGGUGGCAGUCAUGAUCUUUGUUUAAAUUAGGGCUGUUCACGAAUCGGCUCGCGAGCGGCUUCAAUACGAGCUUGACUCAAACUCGAUCAAUAUCAAACUCGAGCUAAUUAAGUCGAGAUCGAACUCAAACUCGAGUUCAAAAACACUAAAUUCGUUGGCUCACGAGCUCGAUUAUAUAUAUGUUUUUAUUUUUAUUUUUAUUUUAAUAGUAAAAUUAUAUAUAUAUAUAUCCAUAAUAUUUUAUUAUUUGUUAAAAAAUGAUUAUUUUAUUCAUUUUUAAAAAUAAAAUAAUUAUUUUUUAUUUUUUAAAAAUAAAAUAAUUAUUAUUUUUUUAUUUUUUAAGCUCGAGCUUGAGCUUGACAUUUUGAGCUCGUCGAGCUCAAGUUUGAGCUUCAUAAAAUUAAUUGGAGGCUCGACUUAAUUAGGCCAAAAUUCCAUUCGACUCGGCUCGUUUGCACCCCUAGUUUAAAUGUACAAUAGUAUUAGUUUAAACUUACAAUGUAUUGAUUUGUAGAUUUUUAGAGCAUUGUAUAUUCAUUACUUGGGGGAAAAGCCCACGCUAUGCGUGGGAGUUUAGUACUUGUAAUUAAAGAUAAUUAAUAAUUAUUAUUUGGUAUUUUGUAGUAUAAGAAUUGAAGUAUGACAAUUUUAUUAUAUGAUAUUAAACAGAAAAAUCAUAAGUUAUAUAUUAAAUCAAAAAAUAUAAUAUAUAAUGAAAUAUAAUUAUAAGAUACGGUCAACUACUUUGCAUGUAAUUUAAUAGAAUAAAAGAACUACUUUGACAUCCAACACGGACUAGUCCAUGGAUUGGUGGCUGCGGAAGCAUCUCAAAGCAAUUGAGGAAAAGUUGAAUGUCCUCGAAAGAGAAGUGGAUUUUGUUAAUCUCCCAUCAUUUUUCAUGUAUAGUGAAAAUAAUUGGUUAUUGGACACAGUUGAAAAAACACUUUAUACUUGACCAUCAAGUUUGCCAGUUAGCAAAAUUUGACUUUGAUCCAAGUACUCACAAUUAUUGAAUCUGUAAUAGAACAUGGGUGAGGUGGAUUUCUUUAUAACCUUUUAGCAAAGAAGCAGCAGAAGAACUGUACGGAAGAUGUGAACAUGGAGGGUUAGGUGCUGGGACCGUUGUCCAUUGACAUUUGUAAGGGAUAAUUUCCCAAAACCACCCUCACGCUUUUCAUAAUAUCACUCAGCCUUGUGUUUGGAUUGUAUUUUUCAUUUUUUUUAUGAAAAAAUUACUAUAUCAAUUUGAUGUAUGUGAGAGAAAAAAGUAAUAGGAAAAUGUGAUCACGGGAAACAACAACGCAAUUUUUCGACGAAAAACUGCAAUCCAAACAAGGCUAUUUUUCUAAAAUCUUUACUACCUCCAUUGUCAGUUGACAAAACCAAGGGAUAAUUCCAAAAACCUCCCCUGGAGUUUCUGACUAUUUCACUAGUCUCUCUAUAAGUUUUAAAAAUUACACUAAUCUCCUUUGAGAUCUAUUAACUUAUAACAUUUAGGUCCAACCAAUAAUUAAAAAGUAAUAUUAGGAGAGAGAAAAUAAUAUGAUUUCACCAUUGCUCCUCAUCUAAUAAAUUAUUUAAUUAAUCUAAUACCCGCCAAAACAUUAAAAAAAUAUUAGAAUUUGCUAUUUAUCAUCAGAGAUUAAAUCACAUAUGGUAUUAAAAAAUAGUAUAUCAUUCUAUAUAUUUUAGUUAAUGUAACAUCUAAAUUGAUAAUUUCAAUUAUAAACUCAUUGUCAAAUAUGAUCAACAACAAAUAAUUAAAAAAAUUUGUAACCAAAAUAUUACAAAGAAUGAACAUUAUUACCAUAAAAUUCUCAACAACUAACUUUAAUAUGUUGAUAAGAACAUUUAUGAUGUUAAAGUUUGUUCUAUGUAAUAUUUUGGUUGUAAAAUUUUGGAUUAUUUGUUAUUGAUCAUGUUUGAUAAUGGGUAUGUAGUUGAAAAAAGUAAUUUGGAUCUUGUAUUAAGUGAAAAUUAUAACAUGAUAUAAUCCAUCUAUCCCAUUGAAAGUGUCAUAUUUUUUAUUUUGAGAUAUCUCCAAAUAUUUGUCACUUGCUAAAAAUAGUAAAGACUUUUUAUUCAAUUUCACUCUUUUACCCUUUUGCUUAGCUCAGUGGCCACCAGAGGGGCCUUAAGUCCUUCCUUGAAGCCCCCACCUGCAGCUAAAAAAAAUUCAAGGGUGAUGCCAUAGCACCCUUUUGGUCUAGUCAGAUUUGCAUACGUACUAGCUCCUAACACACAAGCUUUCUUAGGCUUCCCCCUCCCUGUAAAUUAGAAUAGAAUAGAUUAUAUAAUUGUUAUCGUUGUCAGAAUAAAAAGGUCCCCCAAUAAUCAAGUUAAGUCAGCUCUUUGAGCCCACUUGUUCAGUAUUCAUGUGUUUGAAAAGUUUAUAUAAACAUGCGCGUGGAGUGAAAAAUUAUUAAGGAACUUGGUUGAGACCUCAACGUGCAAAGCACGCAUAAGAUAUAUGUAAACAAAACAGAAGUUCUGAGCCCACCCUCCAGUAGUUGUUCAGGCUUUUUAUUUGAAUUGGCAUCAAUACCUGAAACCUAUUGCAUUUACAGCAAGUGAUUAAAAUUGGCAACGCUUAAAAGAAGAACUUUAUGUUAUCAGGUACACCUCUACGUAGACUGAAUGAUAACAGGAUUGGGAUUGUUGCGGUUGUGCUUUUGUCUGAUCCUAUAUGGUUGUUGUGCUUAUGUUAUAUUAUUGUAUUUGUAAAAAUUUAGUGUACGUAAAUAAAAUAUUUCAUAUACAUUUGAUACAAUAGUGUAACAUGAUUUUACAUCAAAUGUUACGACAAAUACAAUGAUCAAAGAAUAGGAUACAAUACAACUGUGCCUGCCCAUAUUCAAUUAUGAUAUAUAAACAUAUGUACCCAUUUUUCUGUUUUUUCUACCCAAAGAAAGUGGACUCAUUCUGACUACUCUUCUUAGGCAUUAGGCAUUAGAAUACAAUAUCUAAGUUCUAAUAUGUGAAGUAAGUGAAUAUUUUGUACACGACCGAACUAUUAAAUGACUAUUACGUUCACUCAUAAUUCAACAAAAAAGUUCAAUAUUGAGUAACUAACAUUUAAAAGAAAGGAAAAGAUAACAUCCUAUUGUAUGUUUUAGUUCAAUGUUCCAUUGUGGAGAUAUUGAGGAUAGUUGCAAGAAAUUUCAAUAUUUUAUCACAGGGUUAGAGGAAUUACUAUCAAAAUUCAGGACGAGGAGGGGUGAGACAGUAUUAUAAUUUCUAAAAUUUUUACAGAUUACUUCACAGUUUCUAAAAAAUUGAGGGGGUGGUCUGAAUUUGGCUCUGCCCCUGUCUAGAGAUGUUGAGAAGUUGUGGACCGAAAUCCUCAAAAACUUGUAGCGUCAGAAAAGGCAAUUUGGUUGCUUUUUGGGAUACUUCCUUUUCAUGAAUGAUAGAGAGCUCACAUGGCCCGGCCAAUUUACAGCAAAAACGAAAAGCUUCUUGUCUUACUACUUUGUCCAGUUAAUGAAAAUCAAAAUUCUAUGAGCAUUUCUUCCUUUUUUUUCCCCCUAAAGAUGCCAAAUUCCUUUCGGGAACAUAAAAGUCAGCAUGUGAUUAUAGGAUUUAUGUCUUUUAGUAGCUAGGAAAUUACAAAGAAACCAAAUUGCAUGUCGAUUAGACGCUGGUGGUUUUUGAAAGACUGCUGCAUUUCUUCAAUGCUGACCUGUUGGAUGACAUUUUCCUGAUAAUGACGGAAUAAAAUAAAUUCAUCAAAUUAAUAACAACGAAUCUGUACCUAGGACUAGGAGAAGACCAAAAAACAAACAUUGAAGUGCUUCUACCUAGGACUGAUGUUUUAUUUUUCUUUAUACUUUGACUCAAAUCAUAUGGUGACUACACAGACUUUGAACAAGUGAGGACUAUGGAAUCAGGAGAGCCAGGUGUCUGAUUAAUCGAAAUUAAUACUAUUAGAAAGCUGAUCAGCUGCACUAUAAUGAAAAUCUCAUUGCAAUUGAUUUAACUUAAUAAGUUACAAUUUUAUUAAUCAGAAUUCCUGCUGAUUAAAGAGCAUAAGGAUUUGGAUGAGCUGAAAGUCUACCUACGAAUAUGAGAAAUGAAAGAAUCCAUCUCCGAGCGACUAACACCACCUUCUAUAACAGAACCCUUGACAGCUUUGCUCAAUUCUCUGGCUCUUUGCCUCAUCUCUUCUC